GCAUAAUAAUUUGCCCAUUAAUUAUGGGCUAGAAUGAACGGGUCAACGAAAUAUUUACUGUCUCAAAAAAACAAAUUUAAAUUAUCCUUUAGGUGAAGAUACCUAAAUUCAAACAAAGGACAAGAAGACCCUAUAGAGCUUUACCUGUGUUACUUAUAAAAAGUACGACGGUUCGGUUGGGGCGACCAAGGAACACACAACAUCCUUAAAAACCAAGACAAAUGUGUCUCUCCUAUGACCCUUUAAAGAUUAAAAAAACAAGCUACCUUAGGGAUAACAGGCUAAUUAUAAUAAAAAGA
rnacentral:rRNA from 1 species